GCCACUCUCUCCUCAUCCUUCAAAUUUAGGUGAAGAAACUGAGUCCCAGAGAAGGCAAAUGCCACAUGAAGACCGGAGGAAUGUGACUACAGCUCCAACCUGGAGGACUGCUGGCCUCAGUCUGACCACCAUCUCUCAUUCCGCUGAGCCCCUCCAUGAAACUGCAUUAAGGAAACUGUGUCAUCUUUUCAGGAUCUUCUGCAGUGGCCAUGAGGGAGACUCCUUCUGAUGGUGUUAUAGAAGAAGUAGAAGCACGUCCACACACCACUCAUCUACCCACCGACCUUGAACUGGGGUCUGACGAAGACAAGAGCAGUCCAGUUGCCUUGGCAUUAGUGAGGAGGCCUUCAUUGGUUCUACUCACACCUGACUAUGAGCUGUGCUGUGGAGCCCUCGGAGGCCUCCGUGCCCCUCACAGCAUCCCUUUGCAUCCCCCCUUUCUCCCGUGUAUCUCCAUGAAUGCUCUGAAAAUCCCUAAGCUCUCACUUGCCUGCGGGAGGUAGACACUGGAGAGGACCCAUC